GACAGAGGGUGCAAACGUUGCUCGGAAUCACUGGGCGUAAAGGGCGUGUAGGCGGACAUGUAAGUCGGGCGUGAAAUCCCCAGGCUCAACCUGGGAACUGCACUCGAAACUGCGUGUCUUGAGUGCCGGAGAGGAAAGCGGAAUUCCUGGUGUAGAGGUGAAAUUCGUAGAUAUCAGGAGGAACACCAGUGGCGAAGGCGGCUUUCUGGACGGUAACUGACGCUGAGACGCGAAAGCGUGGGGAGCAAACAGG
rnacentral:rRNA from 1 species